UACAGAGGGGGCAAGCGUUGUUCGGAAUUACUGGGCGUAAAGGGCGCGUAGGCGGCCGCCUAAGUCAGACGUGAAAUCCCUCGGCUCAACCGGGGAACUGCGUCUGAUACUGGGUGGCUUGAAUUCGGGAGAGGGAUGCGGAAUUCCAGGUGUAGCGGUGAAAUGCGUAGAUAUCUGGAGGAACACCGGUGGCGAAGGCGGCAUCCUGGACCGGUAUUGACGCGGAGGCGCGAAAGCUAGGGGAGCAAACGGG
rnacentral:rRNA from 1 species